AAAUAAGAAGCGAAAUAUUGCAACCAGUUUCGACCUGGCCAACUUGAUGUUAAAUCCAUCCUUA
rnacentral:tRNA from 1 species